ACUCGAGUUCAUUGAGGCGCCAGCCUGAUAUAUCUGUAAACACAUACAAUGAUGGCUUUGUAAGCACAGCUAUAUAUUUAGCGGUUUGGAAUCACGUGAAGACCGCUAUCUUUUGUCCGUUGUAUACUGUCAUGGCAAUCAGCGGCGGAUUUAACGUCUAGUAUCGCCUCUGCAGUCUAGUAGGCCAGUCUGUGUCUUGCAGCGAAGCCGAGAGGAUCCACACUUAGGCGUGGCGGAGAGAAAACGAGCGCGCAUAUCAUGGCAUCGUUUCUCUCGGUCUUCGUGCUCCUUUUGGCGGUAGCGAAAGUUUCAGGACAAAAUCCCGUAGGGGGUAUAUGUCCGAGCUUUCCCGUCCCAGAGGAAUGUCCCCCGGAACCUGACAACCAAUGCGAGAAUGAUAACCAGUGCUCUCAACAGUUCCCUGGGCUGGGACUCAAGUGUUGCAAGGACGGUUGCGACCUUCGCUGCGUGCCACCAAUCCCCCCACCGACACCAGAACCGCAAAGGGUAUCGUAUAACACACGCAUAUCCACCACAAUUACAAUCUAACCCUAACCAUAAUGCAUCACUGUAAUCUAACUUCGUGAUAACAUUGCCUACCCCGUCAACCAAUCACGUGCCCUCGCCAUUUGCUGCACGAGUUGGGCCUGGGACCGGGGGUUCUUGGUUUGUGACGAAAAACACGUGUAAAUGCCUGCAUGCGAAGGAUUAAUAAUUACCUCACAUGUCGCCUAUGCCUCUGGAAAAAUUACUCUUACAAUUGUUGCAUCCAGCCAACAAUUGUUUGAUGGAAAAUCCUAGCAAAAUCCUUCUGUUCAGUAGAACAGUUAUGCCCUCUCUCCUAGUACUUCUAUUCAUGGAUGAAUAAAGGUGCAACUCGGGUUGGGAACAUGGAUAUUUAGAGCUGCCAAAAUAAGAAUACAAACACAACCAUGGCAAGGGUAAGUAUAGGGACAUGGUGAGUAUGGAGGUGAUGAUGGCAGCAGCGAAAGAGGAUGCGAUGAUGGGGGCAUUAACGAAAGAAGAUGUUAUGAUCAAGACAGCAAUCGCUGAGAUGUUCAAGGACUCGCUCGUGGACACAGGGAUACCAUAUCUGAUAAAACGAUAACGCCUAAUCAUGCAGGCGCCGUGACGUAACGAGUAGUCGGAGGAGUUUGAGUGGCACACCUUUAUCUACGAGACGACGAUAGUGCUCCGACUAACUUGGACAAAACGUCUCAUCUACGCACGAGACAUUUCUACGAGACUAAGUGGUACAGUCUAAACCAUACAAGCUACGGCUCGACCAGGCACGAAGUAGCUAGAUUAGUAGUUAGUAGUUAGAUUGUUCCUUACUGGAACUUCGUCACAAUGUGCGCUUUGAUAAAUUGAAAUCUCUUUAUAACUGUUUGUUAUCUACGAGUGCCCGGAGUAGCUUGAAUAACAAAACUUAUCUAUGCGCUACCUGCUGAAAGCUGUUAACCACCGAUUAUCCGCUGGGUUGUUGUUAGUUUUUUUUUUUCAUCAAAAACACGUAGGUAAACCAAGAUGUUUUUCUCUCUCCUUUUCACCAUUUGCAAAGAGCGAUGAAUACAAACAGCACUUCCUUAUGAAAAAAGGCGAAUAAGAAAGUAACCAACACUUCCGAUAGCAGAAACCGUAAUUGUCCACGUACCAAGCAAGGUAUUUCGUUUUAUCCCUAGAUAAAAUUGCCUUUUUACAACGUACAGACAGUACAAAUCCUCACAGAGCCAUAUAUCAAGUCUCAAUGAUAAAAUGUUUUGGCAAGUUU